rnacentral:rRNA from 1 species
GUGUCAGCCGCCGCGGUAAUACGAAGGGAGCUAGCGUUAUUCGGAAUCACUGGGCGUAAAGAGCGUGUAGGCGGUUUUUUAAGUCAGUUGUUAAAUCCCUCAGCCCAACUGAGGAUCAGCGAUUGAUACUGAAGAACUAGAGUACAGAAGAGAGAAGUGGAAUUAUCGGAGUAGCGGUAAAAUGCGUAGAUCUCGAUAGGAACACCGAUGGCGAAGGCAGCUUCUUGGUCUGUGUCUGACGCUUAAGCGCGAAAGCGUGGGGAGCAAACAGGAUUAGAUACCCUGGUAGUCCACGCUGUAAACGAUGAUCACUAGAUGUUGGUCCUGCUUUGCAGGAUCGGUGUCGUAGCUAACGCGUUAAGUGAUCCGCCUGAGUAGUACGGUCGCAAGAUUAAA